rnacentral:rRNA from 1 species
UACAUAGGUGGCAAGCGUUGUCCGGAAUGACUGGGCGUAAAGGGAGCGUAGGCGGUCUGUUAAGUUGGAAGUGAAAUCCCGGGGCUCAACCCCGGAACUGCUUUCAAGACUGACGGACUUGAGUGUAAGAGGGGUAAGCGGAAUUCCUAGUGUAGCGGUGGAAUGCGUAGAUAUUAGGAGGAACACCAGUGGCGAAGGCGGCUUACUGGAUUAUAACUGACGCUGAGGCUCGAAAGCGUGGGUAGCAAACA